GACGAACGCUGGCGGCGUGCCUAAUACAUGCAAGUUGAGCGCUGAAGGUUGGUACUUGUACCAACUGGAUGAGCAGCGAACGGGUGAGUAACGCGUGGGGAAUCUGCCUUUGAGCGGGGGACAACAUUUGGAAACGAAUGCUAAUACCGCAUAAAAACUUUAAACACAAGUUUUAAGUUUGAAAGAUGCAAUUGCAUCACUCAAAGAUGAUCCCGCGUUGUAUUAGCUAGUUGGUGAGGUAAAGGCUCACCAAGGCGAUGAUACAUAGCCGACCUGAGAGGGUGAUCGGCCACAUUGGGACUGAGACACGGCCCAAACGCCUACGGGAGGCAGCAGUAGGGAAUCUUCGGCAAUGGGCGAAAGUCUGACCGAGCAACGCCGCGUGAGUGAAGAAGGGUUUCGGAUCGUAAAACUCUGUUGGUAGGGAAGAAAGUUGGUGAGAGUGGAAAGCUCAUCAAGUGACGGUAACUACCCAGAAAGGGACGGCUAACUACGUG
rnacentral:rRNA from 1 species